rnacentral:tRNA from 1 species
GGAGGGAUGCCGGAGCGGUCGAACGGGGCGGUCUCGAAAACCGUUGUACGUGCAAACGUACCGUGGGUUCGAAUCCCACUCCCUCCGCCA